rnacentral:rRNA from 1 species
GAUGAACGCUGGCGGCGUGCUUAACACAUGCAAGUCGAACGGUGAAGGCGGAGCUUGCUCUGCUGGAUCAGUGGCGAACGGGUGAGUAACACGUGAGCAAUCUGCCCCUGACUCUGGGAUAAGCGCUGGAAACGGCGUCUAAUACUGGAUACGAGCUGCGAAGGCAUCUUCAGCAGCUGGAAAGAAUUUCGGUCAGGGAUGAGCUCGCGGCCUAUCAGCUUGUUGGUGAGGUAAUGGCUCACCAAGGCGUCGACGGGUAGCCGGCCUGAGAGGGUGACCGGCCACACUGGGACUGAGACACGGCCCAGACUCCUACGGGAGGCAGCAGUGGGGAAUAUUGCACAAUGGGCGAAAGCCUGAUGCAGCAACGCCGCGUGAGGGACGACGGCCUUCGGGUUGUAAACCUCUUUUAGCAGGGAAGAAGCGAAAGUGACGGCACCUGCAGAAAAAGCGCCGGCUAACUACGUG